rnacentral:lncRNA from 1 species
CCGAGAGUGCUCUGGGAUACGAUACUUGGUCUUACCAUUUUAUAUUACUUGUGCGACUAGGUAUACUUGCCGAUUUGGCCUAACACUGGCCCUUAGAAUCGUAGGACACUCAGCGGCACCGCCCAAGCGAGAAACAGUGGUUACCUCCUCGAAACUAGCGCUCAACACUGGAUUGGCCCUAAGCGGUGGACCUUACUCCUCUUUUGCUUCUUUUCUCAUCCUUUCUUGAGUAUAAGUCCUCCCUUCUUC